rnacentral:rRNA from 1 species
GACGAACGCUGGCGGCGUGCUUAACACAUGCAAGUCGAACGGAAAGGCCCUGCUUUUGUGGGCUGCUCGAGUGGCGAACGGGUGAGUAACACGUGAGUAACCUGCCCUUGACUUUGGGAUAACUUCAUGAAACUUGGGCUAAUACCGGAUAGGAGUUCCUGCUGCAUGGUGGGGGUUGGAAAGUUUAGGCGGUUGGGGGUGGACUGGCGGCUUAUCAGCUUGUUGGUGGGGUAGUGGCUUACCAAGGCCUUGACGGGUGGCCGUCCUGGGAGGGUAACCGGACAAGUUGGACCUGAGAUGCGGCACAGACUAGUAUGGGAGGCAACGGUGGGGAGUAGAACACAGUGGGCGGAGGGAUGGUGCGGCAAAGCAGCGUGCGGGAAGACAGCAUGCGGUUAGUAAAGCGAUUUCGCCUGUGACGAGGCGUGAAUGACGGUAACGGGUGAAGAAGCACCGGCUAACUACGUG